AGUGAACGCUGGCGGUAGGCCUAACACAUGCAAGUCGAACGGCAGCACAGUAAGAGCUUGCUCUUACGGGUGGCGAGUGGCGGACGGGUGAGGAAUACAUCGGAAUCUACUUUUUCGUGGGGGAUAACGUAGGGAAACUUACGCUAAUACCGCAUACGACCUACGGGUGAAAGCAGGGGAUCUUCGGACCUUGCGCGAUUGAAUGAGCCGAUGUCGGAUUAGCUAGUUGGCGGGGUAAAGGCCCACCAAGGCGACGAUCCGUAGCUGGUCUGAGAGGAUGAUCGGCGACACUGGAACUGAGACACGGUCCAGACUCCUAAGGGAGGCAGCAGUGGGGAAUAUUGGACAAUGGGCGCAAGCCUGAUCCAGCCAUACCGCGUGGGUGAAGAAGGCCUUCGGGUUGUAAAGCCCUUUUGUUGGGAAAGAAAAGCAGCAGGUUAAUACCCCGCUGUUCUGACGGUACCCAAAGAAUAAGCACCGGCUAACUUCGUG
rnacentral:rRNA from 1 species